rnacentral:rRNA from 1 species
GUGGGGAAUAUUGGACAAUGGGCGAAAGCCUGAUCCAGCCAUGCCGCGUGUGUGAAGAAGGUCUUCGGAUUGUAAAGCACUUUAAGUUGGGAGGAAGGGUAGUAACCUAAUACGUUGCUACUUUGACGUUACCGACAGAAUAAGCACCGGCUAACUUCGUGCCAGCAGCCGCGGUAAUACGAAGGGUGCAAGCGUUAAUCGGAAUUACUGGGCGUAAAGCGCGCGUAGGUGGUUCAGUAAGUUGGAAGUGAAAUCACCGGGCUCAACCUGGGAACUGCUUUCAAAACUGCUGAGCUAGAGUACGGUAGAGGGUGGUGGAAUUUCCUGUGUAGCGGUGAAAUGCGUAGAUAUAGGAAGGAACACCAGUGGCGAAGGCGACCACCUGGACUGAUACUGACACUGAGGUGCGAAAGCGUGGGGAGCAAACAGGAUUAGAAACCCUGGUAGUCC